UUUUAUAAACAUCAGUAAUAAGAAACACUCCAAGAGCACAAACACCUGCCAAGGCAGCUCACUCUCUGUCCGGUAUCUGAAUUUUUAUAUAUUCAUUUUGUUUUCUUUUUGAGUAGAUUUUUCACUUCAAAGAAAGAAAUAAUAAAAACAGGACAAGUGAGGUUUUACUGGUGGAGUGAAACAUCUGUAAAUCUACUGACCAUAACAAGACUUAAGGCGUCACAUCCUAACCCAGUGCUAAAUAAGGAAACAUAUCCUGCUCUUGCGGUUUCCCUUUUAUUCCUGCAACCUUUUAUAGCCUUAAUAUAGAACCUAUUAGCCGAGCAGACGCAAACAGAGACACAGCUGACGCACACAGAGUAUAAUGGGUGCAUGCAUGCGACAGGUAUCCAGAGACUGAGCGUCUGUUUUCUCCUGAUAAGCCUCUCUCUCUGUAUAAACAAUGGGUAUCAGGCCAUUCACACUCAGACCUGACAUCACCACAUUUCUGUGCUGUGUCUCAUGGAGCACAAAUCAAUUUCCCUCUCCACAAGGACAGUUAAACUAACCGAGGAAAAUGUGCUCCACAUGAUGUCAGACUUAUUAUUUAACUCUGAAACUAUUCUUAAGUCACAAUUUACUGUAAAUGCAAAGGGAGGGGGUGAAAAAGUAAAAUAGUAAGACUGUCACCAAAGGGCGUGUUGUUGCAGCAGCUUCAGUGCUGAUAAGUAUUCACAAAUAGAGAUGCAGUCAUUUCAGACAGUCUGACAUAAAAAGAUGCUACGGUUAAGGUUCUAAGUUCUAGUCCAGGGGUGGGGAACUCCAGGCGUCAAGGGCUGGUCUCCUGCAGGAUUUAGAUGUGUCCUUGAUCCAACACAGCGUAUUUAAAUGUCUAAAUGACCUCCCCAAUAUGCCUUAAAGUUCUCCAGAAGCCUGCUAAUGGACUAAUCAUCUGAUUCAGGUGUGUUGACCCAGGGUGAGAUAUAAAACCUGCAGGACCCUUGAGGCCUGGCGUUCGACACCCCUGUUCUAGUCCAUUGUAGGAUUUUCGGAGCAAGAAGAGGAAUUUGCUAACUACCAGCUAACAGUGGCACAUUUUUAUUUUACAGACAAAGAUAAUAGUGCUCAAUGAGUAAAGUCUUAAUGUUUCACUAGCCUGUUACUGAGACUGAAGCACAAACAUCUUGUAUGGGAAUGUAACAUAUUUUGUGGAAUGCAGCAAAGACCAGACUUCCCACAUUCCCAGUCCCUGGUAUAAUUACAAGACCUUGAGACAACUGUUAGCGUGUUGCUACAGUUCCGUACAGCUGAAGUGAAAAUGAGAAUUUUUGACUUUUAUUGAGGUGACUUACUCUUGAAGGCAGGAUACAUGGGGACAGUGUUGGUGAUGAGCGAAGCGUCAUAUCUGGACUCGGGAGAUGUUGCCAGCUCUGUCAACACAAACAUAGGGUCCUGAGUUCACCCUGUGGUGCUACCUGGGGGGAAGAGGAAGCCAUACGUGAGGUGGGUGUUCUGGCUGUAGGCGCUGCAGCUCUGACUGUGAUCAGCUGACACUCUGGCAUCGACUCGGAUGCACUUAGCACUCGGAGAAGCAUCUGGUAUAGGAGUCA